UCCAGACUCCUACGGGAGGCAGCAGUGAGGAAUAUUGGUCAAUGGUCGGGAGACUGAACCAGCCAAGCCGCGUGAGGGAUGAAGGUACAGAGUAUCGUAAACCUCUUUUGUCAGGGAACAAAGGCGGGGACGCGUCCCCGGAUGAGUGUACCUGAAGAAAAAGCAUCGGCUAACUCCGUGCCAGCAGCCGCGGUAAUACGGAGGAUGCGAGCGUUAUCCGGAUUUAUUGGGUUUAAAGGGUGCGCAGGCGGGCUGUUAAGCCGGCGGUAAAAAUUCAGGGCUCAACCCUGUCGAGCCGUCGGAACUGGCAGUCUUGAGUGGGCGAGAAGUAUGCGGAAUGCGUGGUGUAGCGGUGAAAUGCAUAGAUAUCACGCAGAACCCCGAUUGCGAAGGCAGCAUACCGGCGCCCUACUGACGCUGAGGCACGAAAGUGCGGGUAUCGAACAGGAUUAGAUACCCCUGUA
rnacentral:rRNA from 1 species